rnacentral:rRNA from 1 species
CGAGUGAAGCGGCAACAGCUCAAAUUUGAAAGCUAGCCUUCGGGUUCGCAUUGUAAUUUGUAGAGGAUGAUUUGGGGAAGCCGCCUGUCUAAGUUCCUUGGAACAGGACGUCAUAGAGGGUGAGAAUCCCGUAUGUGACAGGAAAUGGCACCCUAUGUAAAUCUCCUUCGACGAGUCGAGUUGUUUGGGAAUGCAGCUCUAAAUGGGAGGUAAAUUUCUUCUAAAGCUAAAUAUUGGCGAGAGACCGAUAGCGCACAAGUAGAGUGAUCGAAAGAUGAAAAGCACUUUGGAAAGAGAGUUAAAAAGCACGUGAAAUUGUUGAAAGGGAAGCGCUUGCAAUCAGACUUGUUUAAACUGUUCGGCCGGUCUUCUGACCGGUUUACUCAGUUUGGACAGGCCAGCAUCAGUUUCGGCGGCCGGAUAAAGGCUCUGGGAAUGUGGCCUCCACUUCGGUGGAGGUGUUAUAGCCCAGGGUGUAAUACGGCCAGCCGGGACUGAGGUCCGCGCUUCGGCUAGGAUGCUGGCGUAAUGGUUGUAAGCGACCCGU